CGAAAAAGGUGACCAACCAUAUCCACCAUAGCCAUACCCGUACCCAUACCCACUGAGUGGUGGAGCCACAGGGGGGUUGAUAUAAAUAUUGGUCCUGAUGGAGAAACAGAUUGAAACAAGAUUAAUAAUGUCUUCAGGGUUACCUUUAUCAAUAACUAUUUUUCAGAAUAGUGCAACGGAAAUUAUAUAAUUGAGACAUGCCUUCCCAUUUUUCCAAAAUAAUAAACAAAAAACUAACUGCAGUCAUCGAAGAACUCAACAUAUUGGUUCAGAAUAGUAUCCUGUGCCUGACUUUUAUGACCCUCUACAACACAGCUGUUAACAUAGUAAUAAAAAGCAACACAUCUCCUCAUUUUAUAUCAGCAAAAAUUUCAUCUUACGGGAUAAAAUUACAGCAAUAUCAUUAAUCUAUCUUAGAUGUACUACUUAAAUUCAGAAGAGUGCAAAGGGAACAUAAAAAACUGGAAACUUGCUUCAUAAUGCCCAUGAAAUAAAAUUUCUUUAUAUGAACAGUAAUAUGUUAUAUGUCAAGAGGUGGAUAAUUUUUACUGGCUUUGUCGAGUAAAGUCCUGAUUCACGGGAUAAGAAGUUAUUAUUCUACAUCACAGUUGACAAGCAUUGACAGUAUAAUUAUCGCCUAGAGGUGCAGAUUAGACGGGGAAGAUUUUGAAAUGUUUACAAACUGAAUGUCUGUUGCUCUGUUUUUCCAAGCAAACAGCAAGGAUCAAGUUUGCCACCAAAAAUCAAAUUCUACAAAUCCAGUCUGAAAGAUAUUUUAACUACUUUUCAUCAAUUUAAUUUUCUUCUCUUAUAUCAUUAGCUGUAUAUACUUUAUCAUUAGCACUAGACAUGCUUUAAUAAGAAAUUAAGUGUACCUGCCCUUCCUCUCUCUAUACUUUAUAGUCUUUCUACAAAGUUUACUUACCAAUAAAAACCUCAAACUGGUUUUAACGAAUAAAAACUCGAUAGGCAGUGGCUAGUAAUAAUCAAUUCAUUCUCUCAUUCAUUCCAUCUAAUUGCUACCAGUGUGAGUGCAAACAAGGAACCAAGCCAAAAUCAUUCAGCAGGGUCUGGGAAAGGUGAUGAGUUUUACACAGACCUUUUGUAUCUCGAAUCCUAUGAGGAGAGGCUAUUUCUGAGAGAACUCUAGGCUUCUGAGAAAAAACAAAAUUUAGGAAAAAGUUGAUGUUGCAAAUAUUUGGAAUGUUAAAAGAAUGAAAAUAUGACCAGCUUCAAGAUGGCAUUGGAUGGCGAAGAUACUAGAUAGUGGUAAAUAGUUGGAAGGUAAAAUAUAGGAACCCCUAAAAACUUGAAGUUUUGUGAUUCAUUACAUCGAAAAAAACCAUAUAUAUGAUGUAUAUUUAAAUAAACGGAAUUUGGAGGAUACAAUCUAGGACUGUCAAAUCCAGGACUCAAAGUAUUAUAAUGUCCUACCUCUGUUUCCCACAAUACACAAAAGGUAAUAUAUUAGUGUCACGGUUUGGAAGGUAAUACAAAAAUAAAUUUCCAAUUGUAUAUUUACAACACUAUAUGGUAGCUAUUAUACCUUAGUUAACAAGUGUUCCUGAUGGCUGAUAUUCAUAACUCAUUAAGAUAAUUAUAACUUUUAUGGAAGAUGCCGGUUGUAAAACCUUAAAUAUUCAUACACCUCUAUAUGAUACAUGCCCUUGCAAUUAAAACCUUCGAUCUGCCUACAGGAGAAUGCUAUCCACCAAGCUAUAAGCGGAAACCAAUAUCCCCCAUCCCCAAUGUGUGCCCCAGCCCCACAAUAGGUAUCAAAAUGAGCCUAGGGGUGCCAAGAAGUUAGGAACUUGGUGACAAUCUUUUUGUGCUAUUUAGACUACCGGUAUGCAAGCAAUACAAUAAAAAAAAUCUGGACUAAUCCCCCUCCCAAAGAUAUGAAAUAGUUGACCAACAAAACUCAGCACUCUUACGCCACUAAGGCUACCCUAUAACUUUCUUAAACUCCACUGGGACACAAUUUUCUCACUCUCUUUUGCAAGCCAAGCAAAUUCGUUGAAGUUCGUGCUACGCCUAUGAAUACUAUAAGUUCUGAUCACCACUGAGUUAUUCCGAAAUCCUCUACUCUCACAUCCUUCACAAAACCCAUGCCCCAUUUUGGCAGCAGGGCAGUCAUUACAGUUCCCUUCUCAUAAUGAUUAAAGCAAGCAAAUAACAAAUUAACAACUUUGUUCCUAUCUACAAAUUACUUUGCAUCAUAUAUAACAAUCCCAAUUCAGAACAUUGGUUCUCAAUUCAAAGACAAUGUAUUUUCAAACUAGCUAACCGAAGUUCACGAAACAAAUUAUACCAAAUAUCAGAUAUACCUUGAAUUAUUAGUUCUUGGUGAUGAUGCACGGGGAGGAGCUGCCGGUCGAGACGACCGAAACGCCUGACCACCAACUCGACCACCAGACUUGGCAGCUAAUGCUGGAUCAAAUGUACCCAGUGUCAAAAUCCCAGC
rnacentral:lncRNA from 1 species